AUCUAGGGAAUCAAAUUAAUCUUCAAUUAUGUGAAAGAAUUUCAGGAACGAACGCCGCUCAAAUUACCGAGUAACUUGUUGUUGUGAAAAGAUUCCUACCGCAAGCAGCCUGAAUGCAAGGACGUUUUCGUUGAUUUCUUUUUUCUCCCCCAACAACAUACGGGAGAUCUUUCCAACUGCCGAUCAUCUCUGCAUGGGGAAUCUCAAAAAUUUUGAAAGCUAGCCUUAAAAGGAAUGCAAACAAAGAAAAAAGAAAAAAAAGAAAAUCUCUCUGUAUGUCUUCCUGCUUUAUAAAACUAAGCCCUUCAGUGACCCUGUACUGAAUACCUCUAAUGGACAUGUGUGAUCUUGGAGCCUUCACUGUGAUAAACAAAUUUUAGAACUUCAACUUGUUUUUGCAGAAGAAUUCUUUAUCCUCGUCAAAAAGGAUUUCCUAAAUGAACAAGCCAUUAGCACAGGCAUGAAUGUGGAGUUCAUGUCCAUCUGGCUGUCCUGACCUCCCGACCCCUGAAAGCAUCCCUAUAUCAUAUCCUGCUUAUAGUCAAAGAUUAAUGUGGUCAAAUAAAAAGGGCACUGGACUGGAAGCCACGGGGAUGCCAAGAGGUUCUAUCUUAUCUGAGCCUUGGUCUCCUCAUCUGGGAAAUGAAGAUGUUGCCAUAAAUGAUCUCCUCUAGUGCCCUUCUGUGGCUUCACCAUUUGCUUAACACUCCGAGACAUCUUUUCUAGCCAGGCAACAGAGAAAACAAGGGGAAGCAAUCAGACACCAGUAAGGAUAAGCAGACUCGAAAACACAAAAGUCAGAGACAACAGUACAGGACGAGAGUUAUACCCAGGGGAUAGGGACAUGUGGAGGUCUACUUUCACAUCUCUCUUCUCAACAGUGGUCAAGAUGGACUUGGAGAACAGUCAUACAGCAUCAUAUGACACCCACACCAGUCCUAGAGUAUUCUCACAGCUAACCCGGUAUUCAGCAUCACCUGGUAGGUGAUUACAGUUCGCAGGAAGAAUUAUGUCCUUGCUUAAUGCUUUUGGUGUGACCCAUUUCCCAUGACAAAGCAAAGAUCUUUCCUCUUCUCACUUUCCCAUAUGGGGAUAACAUUAAAGUAGUAUUACGACAAGUCAGCACCUAUGCAAGUUAUAGUUAAUAAAGCACCCUGAGAAGUAAAUCCAAGAUCCAAGAUCAAGAGAGAUCAAGGAGAAAGAAAAUACUUUUUUACCUAUUGUCAAGGCUAGCUAACAUUAAUGAUUAAAAUAUUGUGCUCUUUAUUCUUGGAUUUCAACAACACUUGAGUCUCAUGGUGGAAGCCUCAGGCAUUAAAUUGAAGAGAACACUGAUUGUUAGAACAAGAAAACAUCUAAGCAUCUAUUAGUUCAGCCUUCCGUGAAAAGUCGGAAUUCCUUCAAUGAAACUCUCAUGUAUGCCUAUCUAGCUUCUCCCUGAUAAUAACAACAAUAAUAACGGUGAUAACUGUAAUGAAAAUAAUGAAAGCACUAUUUCACACUUACUAUGUCACCAGACCUGUGGCAGUAUAUUGAACACUGAUUGCAAACCCGCACCUCUCCUAACAUUAACUUAUUGAAUGCUUACAAUGCCACCUCUAAUUUUAUCAAAUGAGUCAACUGAAUUCUACAAGAAAGGGUUAAGUAACUUGCAAUAAGUCACACAUCUAGCUAGGAGCUAGGGAAUUUAACUAAACAGACUAGUUCUGGAACCUGUCCCUUUAACCCUAUGCUACCAGAUGGGACGGGGAGAGAGACAAAGUAAACAUAGAGUUUGUUUCAACUCUUCUUAAUUGAAAGAUCUUUUGUUUUCUAAGGCAAACAUGCCUCCUUUCUUCAUUUGAUUCGCAAGCCUUGCACAGGAUAAUUAUUAUUCUUUCUUCAGUUUGAUCAUCUUAUAUCAGGGCUUGGCAAAACAGUGUCUGUUCUCAUGUGGCUCAUGAGCCAGGGAUGGAUUUAAAAUUUUCAGAUCAUAUAAAAAAUAAAAAGAAGAGUAAUACGCACAUGAAAAUCAUCUGAAAUUCAAACCUCCAUCCAUAAGUAAAAUUUUAUUGGAACACAACCACACACUUCUUCGUUUAUGUAUUGUCUCUGUCUAUGACUGCUUCCACCCUACUACAAGGUCAGAACUGAGCACUGACAACAAGGACCAUUUGGCCCAGCAAAGACUAAAACAUUUACUAACUCAUCCAUUAUGAAAAAUGUUUGCUGCCCCUUACUUUCAAUAUUUAAAUGUGGUUCUCAUGUCCUUUCUUCGAUGCUCUCUUUUAUGGUAACUAUCUCAAAUCCUCCUCCCUCUCUCAGCUCACAGCAACCUAAGAACUGUUCUCUGGAGUUUCUUUGGAAUCACAUAUUUCACCCCUCUCAAAGUAAACCAUGGAAUACUACUCAGCAAUUAAAAGGAAUAAACUACCCAGACAUCCAACAACAAGGAUGAAUCUCCAAAGCAUUAUGCUAAGUGAAAAAGCCUUCCCCAAAGCAUUCUUGUGGUAUGAUGAUAUGUAUAAGAAAUUCUAAAGCAGACAAAACUCACCUACAGUGAAAAUAACAUCAGAACAAUGGCUGUCUAUGGGAGAGUAGAGGAGGAAUUAGCUAGGAUGGAGAUUUAAACUUUGAGAUUUUGGAAAUAUUGCAAAUCUUGGCAAUAGUUC
ensembl:lncRNA